rnacentral:rRNA from 1 species
CCCUUAGAUGUUCUGGGCUGCACGCGCGCUACACUGAAGCUAUCAACACGUUUUCCCUCCCUGAGAAGGGCGGGUAACCUUUUGAAUCAGCUUCGUGGUAGGGAUCGGGGCUUGCAAUUGUUCCCCGUGGACCAGGAAUUCCUAGUAGACGCGAGUCAUAAGCUCGCAUCGAUUAAGUCCCUGCCCUUUGUACACACCGCCCGUCGCUACUACCGAUUGAACGUUUUAGUGAGGCAUUUGGACCGACGCAUCUCAGUUUAACCGCUGGUUUGUGUUGGAAAGACUUCCAAACUUGAGCGUUUAGAGGAAGUAAAAGUCGUAACAA